GUGAGGAUCCGUUCUAACGGUCAGUUCUAGAAGUAAUGUCGUUCAGUUAACUCUAAGCAGUCAUCAAGUUACGAGUAGUGUAUCAUCUCCAAAAUAGACUAAAAACUGAAAAGAAAAAUCCACACAAAUUUCCUUGGAAAAACUGCACUUGUUAUAAAAGUUCAAGUUUUUACAUCAUCAUUAUGUAAAACGAUAUCGAAUCCAAAAAUAUAUUGAAUUAAAAUCAAUUUUUAAAAAAUUAUUCACGCAAGUAAAUUCACAAUCAAUCGCAUUCGAAAAUAGCCCGACACAAAAAUAUACAACAUGGGUUAAGACCUAUAAGUGCGAUAAUGUUAUCAAUUUUUUCAUAUAUUUCAUUUUUUUUUUCGUAAUAGUGUGUUGACGCCAGUUUCUUCAAAACCAAGUCUGACAAGAAAAUAAAAUCUCAGCUUAUCAAACGAUACAUUAUUUAUGUGGAGAAAUGCUGCUGAUAUAAAACGUGGUUGUUCUAAGUGUGACUGAAGUUUUUGAAUGUCGAAUAAACAUGAUCUUUUUUUUAUUUUUUAAAUAUCGGUGAAUGAAAAGUGAGAGACACAAGGUUGUUAGAAAAUGUUGUUAUCAAAUUGCAAAAUAAAAAACUUUUUACUAAAUUUGGUUCAAAAAAUUAAGUGUCGAAAUGUUGGUGAUAGUGACAAGGGACAAGGAUAAAAGUCUAAGUGAAGUUCUUGUCAUCAUGUUCGUGUCAUGUCAGAGUCAGAGUCACAAUCACACAGUAACAGUUAUAACAGAGUAGGUACGUCCUCUGUCCAUCCAUCCGUCUGUCCGUCAGUCCGUCAGUCCCUUUCGUUCGUUCUUUGGCUCGUUUCAUUUGCACAACGACGACGACGAUGACGAAGAAGUGUUCCAAUGCUGAUGAAUAAUGACGACAGCUAUAAGAUGACCAUUGAAAAAGGAGAUUAUUAUUUACGGUGACAGAUGAACUAGAAUUUGAGCUUAAAGAAAAUUUAACAGGAAAUGUGCAGAAUUCUACUUUUCUCCUUAAUGCAUUUGUGAGGAUUUGAAGUAAUUUAAAGCGAAUAUUCACACAAAUUUGAAGGUCUAUAAACGUGUUUCAGAAAACUAUUGAUACAAAAUGAAUUGCUCAAUAUUUAAUCGUGGUGUUAUGAAGAAAGUGUGGAACCAGCUAAGCGCCUUCAGAACUUCAAGUUAUCCAAUAUAACUCACCAUUUUAAAAGGCAAUCUUUCCCCCAAAAAUGAUGUAGGUAACCAUAUGCUCUAUCGUUCCACCGACAAAAGGAAGAAGGUGUUAAGAUAUCAAAAUGACCCACACCUGUGAGUGAAACAAUCCAACAGUAAACUAGCAUCAAGUGGGUACUUUUAUAACAACACUCCAAACAAAAAAAGAACAUUCGUAAGUACAAGUUUUGAAUUAAGGCCAAUACUAAAUAAAAAGCUUUAUCUCUCCUCUUGUGGUAUUUAUCCAAACCACAUCUUGAGGGACACCUCAAACUUCUGAAAUGUGUUUCAUUUUUAUUCUGGUUACUUAGCAUAAAUAAAACAUUGAAACAAAAAAAAAAGAAAACUUCAAAGCCAAAACGAUGAUAAGAAACAAAAGAAUCUUAACUAAAAAAUAAAUGAAAGAGGAACAAAAUGCUUUUCUAAGUACUAGUGCCGCAGGAGAUAAUAUUAAAAACUCCUGCUGCCCAAGUGCUUAUCAAAGAGUUUUACCGAUGACAACAACAACAACAAUAACAAAAAACCUGAAAAAAAUAAAAUCACAAGAAAAAAAAAUAAUAUUUCUUGUCCGUAAAUAAAAUUUAUUUUUUUUUUAUUUCAUUUUUAUGUUUUUGUUUAUGUAUUUUUAUAUUUUCAUUCGUUUCUGCGUGUUGGAAGUACUACUCUUGUUUUGUGAGGAAAAUUUCGAUAUUGGACGAAAAGCGUGGAAUGAAGUGGUUUAAGGUUUCUCCUUUUAUAUCCUCUUAUUUUUCUUUUUGAGGAUUAAGCAGAGGGUGUGAGAGGGAUUGAGAUGCUUUAAAUCUGUGGAAUUUUGUUUUGCAAGUUUAACUGAAUAAUGACAACCGCAGCAAUAUAAUGGAAUGUUGAUGAAAUGAAAAAAUACAAGUUAAAAUCUUAUUUACAACAAGAAAAAGUCGUAAACGAAAUGAAGGUUUUAUGAAUAAAACUAUUUACUCAACCUAUAGUAGUUUCAUCAGUCAUUCAAUUUUAUAAUGAAGCUUGAAAACUUUAAAAACUGAACGAAAUAACGAAGGAAGGAAUACAAUUAUUAAAAAUAAAUGUAAAUUUAAUUUUAAGUUUCCAAUAUUUAACAAAAACAUACAAAAUUAA